rnacentral:rRNA from 1 species
AGGACGAACGCUGGCGGCGUGCUUAACACAUGCAAGUCGAACGGUGAACCACCUUCGGGUGGGGAUCAGUGGCGAACGGGUGAGUAACACGUGACCAACUUGCCCCUAACUCUGGGAUAACCCCGGGAAACCGGAGCUAAUACCGGAUACGAGACCGAGUGGCAUCACUCGGCCUGGAAAGUUUUUCGGUUAGGGAUGGGGUCGCGGCCUAUCAGCUUGUUGGUGGGGUAAUGGCCUACCAAGGCGACGACGGGUAG